GCUAGCGUGGCGUAGAGGUUUGAGUGUUGGACUACGACUCAGGAGACCAGGGUUCGAUUCCCAGCUUGACCA
rnacentral:tRNA from 1 species